CCAUCUAUACUUAUAUUCAAUAUCUUUGGUUGUGACGUAAAAAUCUUAGGUUAGAACUCUACCCUCUUAGAACAUGGAUUAAACAUAGUAGUGUUUAAUAUCACGAGGAUAAUCUUCAUUAACACUACUUUAACAAGAUUUAAAAGGUAGCCACAAUGUCGACUUUGGAAUAUUCGAAAGCACUCGUUGCACAGGGAAGAUCUUCGUGGAAAAACGUCCGCAACUGUACUCUGUGCCCCUAUUUUACGACAUCAAUUUUGUGUAUGGUGAGUCACGUGAGGCGACAUCGCUCAUCUCUGGAAAAAUUUACAUGCUCCGAAGCCAAAAUUGAAGCGUAUUAUUGUAAAGACUGCGACUUUAAAACGGAUCUAACGAUUCUGUUUAAACAACACAUUAACAAACAUCACGGCCUUAAGAGUGAAUCUAGAGAAGUUUUGUCAAUCGAGGACUUCAGCAUACAAAACCACGUUUGCAAAAAAUGCGCCUUCGAAACAAAUUCCUUGAUAAAUUGGCUUCAACAUACUUCAGAAUGCUCGGAAAGGAAAGAAAAUCUUCAAAGUCUGAAUUCUCUGAGCGAGAAUGUCACGUACGAAGAAAAUAUUGAAUGGCUCCAGUGUGAAAAGUGUCCUUUCAAAACUGAAUUCAAAAAAAGUUUAAAAGGACAUAUGUAUUACCUACACUCGCGGGCAGAAGACGUCAAAUGGUACGAAUGCAAGGUGUGUCCAUUCAAAUCUAAGUAUAAGGAAUCGUUAAGGCGGCACUUCAAUGUGAAACAUGCAGAGGAAGAAAAAAUUGAAUGGCACAAAUGCGAAAAGUGCCCGUUCAAAACCAAACAUCGCUCGACUUUAAAUUAUCACGUGAUUAAUCAACAUCUGAGUAAAGAAGAAGUAAAGUGGUUCGAAUGUGCCAACUGUUCGUAUAAAAGUAAAAGAAAAAAUAAUUUAAAACUGCAUAUAAAUGCUCGCCAUUCAGAUACCAAAUCACUUCAGCAUUCCGAUUGUAAGCGGUACAAAUGUGGACGGGAUGGUGAAUGGCACAAGUGCGAAAAAUGUCCUUUCAAAACUGGAUCAAAAAAGAAUUUAAAAAGGCACACGAAAAACGUACACUCACGGGCAGAAGACGUCAAAUGGUACGAAUGCAAGGAGUGUCCAUUCAAAUCUAAGUAUAAAGAAUCUUUAAAGAACCACUUCAAUGCGAAACAUGUAGAGGGAGAAAAAAUUGAAUGGCACGAAUGCGAAAAGUGCCCGUUCAAAACCAAGCAUCGUUCGACUUUAAAUUAUCACGUGAUUUGUCAACAUUUGAGUGAAGAAGAAGUUAAGUGGUACGAAUGUGGGAACUGUUCGUAUAAAACUAAAAGAAAAACUCAUUUAAAACUGCAUAUAACUGUUCGCCAUUCAGAUAUCAAAUCAUUUCAGUCCCAAUAUUAAGACAAUGAAUGGUACGAAUGUGAAAAUUGUGCAUUUAAAACCAAAAAUAAAUAUACUUAAAAAAAACACACACAAAUUUAUUUCAUUUAGAAGACGUUAAAUGGUACGACUGCGAAGAGUGUCCCUUCAAAACAAAGCAUAAAAAAUCCUUAAAGGAGCACGUAAUGGCUAAACAUCUGAACGAAGAAAAAAUUAGGUGGUACGAGUGUGAAGAUUAACCGUUCAAAACUAUGUGACCGUUGGGUGUGAAAAAGCACGUGCUUUCUCGACAUUAUAAUAUUUACAAAACAAAAACUAGCAAAGUAGGAAAAAGUACAAUUUAGCCCCGCCCACCCACCCGUUGUAUAUUUUUUUUCAGAGGGUUGGUUGGUAGAAAAGAUGGCCGCUUUGUGGAGGGAUGUGAAUUGCGUCAUUGUUGUUUGGGUUUCGUGAGUGAGAGUAUGGUGAAAAGACGCUCUAAGUUAGCCAGGUUAAAUUAGUUGGUUUGGUACUUAAUAAAGAGGAGGAAGCAUUUGUUUAACGACAAUUUUAAUUUUAUCUCGCAUAAGAAUUAUUUAUUAUUUAAAAUUUUUCUUUUUGAAACUUUAACACUUGUUCAGUUGUCGUUAAUAUCAGAGUCAUAGAAAUUGAACAUUUAAAAUUGAAUUGAGGUAAAUAAUACCGAAAUACGUGGCAGAAGCGGAGUGCGCGGUUCCUAGUCGAGCUGGCGAAAUUCACUGCGAGCUUGCGACCGUAACGACCUGUUCGUCUAGGUACUCUUGGGGUGCUACCGUCUUCUAAAUGAAAUAAAUUUGUGUUUUUUUUAAGUAUAUUUAUUUUUGGUUUUAAAUGCACAAUUUUCACAUUCGUAAAAUUCAAUGUCUUAAUAUUGGGACUGAAAUGAUUUGAUAUCUGAAUGGCGAACAGUUAUAUGCAGUUUUAAAUGAGUUUUUCUUUUAGUUUUAUACGAACAGUUCCCACAUUCGAUGAUAAUUUAAAGUCGAGCGAUGUUUAGUUUUGAACGGGCACUUUUCGCAUUUGUGCCAUUCAAUUUUUUCUUCCUCUGCAUGUUUCACAUUGAAGUGCCUCCUUAACGAUUCCUUAUACUUAGAUUUGAAUGGACACACCUUGCAUUCGAACCAUUUAACGUCUUCUGCCCGCGAGUGUAGGUGAUACAUAUGUCCUUUUAAACUUUUUUUGAAUUCAGUUUUGAAAGGACACUUUUCACACUGGAGCCAUUCAAUAUUUUCUUCGUACGUGACAUUCUGGCCCCGAGAACUCAGACUUUGAAGAUUUUUUUUACUUUUAAAAAAGUGGCUUAUUUGGCAGCAUUAACUUUUUUCCUUUUUGUAAUUUAAUUUUUAUUUUAUUUAUUUUUUCUUAAAUAAACCUCUUUCUUUUUAGAUGUAUUUAUUACAUUAUUUUUACAAUGAUAAUUAAACCUCAAGUAUUCGGGGAAAGAAUGUGCGAAUUGUCAAAUUGUAUACCUAAGUAAUAAAAUAAAAACUGUAACAAAUCAUCGUGUUUAUAAAUUAAAUAUGGACUUUUCUUUUUUCUUAUUGCGAUUCGCGAUUUUGAGCAAACUACACAGUUUGCAAUAAAUUGCGUACACGCAUCAAUUUUUGAAAUUGUAAAUGAAGUGAUACUUUUUAAAUUGGGUGGCGACAUCUAGGAAUAGUUUAGGCAACGACCACCCAAGAUGGCUUAAAAUUCGGGUCAGAAAGAACAAAGGCGCCGACACAAGAGCAUACGGUAUUUGUGCAUAAGAACAUUCAGGACUGCCAACUUCGAAAAACAGUUGGCCUAGUGUCAUUACAAAAAGGCGGGAAAGGCAAAACAUCAUUAAUUGCUGUCACUAUAGUCUGAACGCGCUUUUUCUAUAUUCUUCCAGAAUGGAAUCCAUAAAGUGUUCUGUCUGUGACAAACAAUUUAAUUUUGUUACUUCCAGGAAUAGACAUUUUAGGCAGAUGAAGAUUUUGCAGUGGGCUUUAUGAACCAGGUGAUGGAAUCUAAAUUGAAACAAUUCACAAAUAUUAUUUGUAUGGAUGGGACGCACAACACAAAUAUUAGAGGAUGGGAGUUAACAACAGUUUUAGUUAAAGAUGAUAGGGGUGUUGGUUUUCCCGUUGCAUUUUUAGUGUCUAGUAGAAAAGAUCAGUUAAUUUUUGAAAUUUUUUUAGAUGCUUUAAAGAAAAAAGUUGGUGAAAAAUUAUGUCCCACCUAUUUUAUGACAGAUGAUGACCCAAAAUAUUAUAAUGCAUGGAUAAACGUUAUGGAAACAAAACCAAGACAUUUGUUGUGUAGUUGGCAUAUUAGAAAAAAUUGGAACAUUCAAGCAAAAUUAAAAAAUACAGAAUUGAAGAAAAAUAUGAAGACCGAGAUGGGAAAAAUUUUAAAGGAAACAAAUGAAGAUAAAUUUAAAGAGCUAUACGACAGUUAUUUUCAGAUACUUUUUGAAGCGGGGGAAAUUAAUUUUUUGAAUUAUUUAAAAAAACAUUAUUUUCAGAAUAUGGAACGUAUUAAAAUGUGGGCUCACUGUUACAGACUAAAUGCUGGGAUUAAUACAAAUAUGGCAAUUGAAAGUCUGAACAAAUUUAUUAAAUAUGAUGAGUUGAAUAAGAAGAGAAAUAAUACAAUAGAGAAGUUAUUGGAAAUGUUAGACAGAGUAGUGGAAGACAAGGAAUGGAACAGAAUAAUAGAAAGAGAAAGACCUUCUACAGAAACGUAUCAAAGCAGAAUUGUAAGAGACAGACAUAGAAAAGCAGAAAAUUUACAAAAUAUGGUGGAGGAAGUUGGUUUUGGAGAGUUUUCAGUAAGAUCUAAUUCCAGUAAGAUUUAUAAGGUUGUGUAUGGAGACAGAGUGUGUAGAAAUGAUUGUAGGCUCACGUAUUGUGUAGUUUGCCAAAUCUGUUUGCAUCAUUACAAAUGCCAGUGUCCUGAGUUUAUGGUAAAAAAUAACAUGCAUAUGGUUGCUUUGUUUGAAAGGGAACGGUAUGAAUGUGGGUUAGGGCAGACUAAAGACACUUUUACAGAUAUAGAAGAACAUAAUUAUUGGAAGAGAGUAUUAAUGGAAACAGAAAAUGAACACAAUCAUUGUGAUAUGCAGAAAAAUGAAGAAGUAAAAAUGUUAAUAGAAAAUAAUCAGCAAACACCGUUGCCAUUGGAUGAUGAAACUUUUCGAAAAUUAAAGCAGGAGUCGCUUAAUAACACUUUGAAUGCACUUAACAUAGAUGAUUUUAAAGAACUGAUGAGCAAUAUUGAUGGAUGGUUAAGAAAAAAAAACGAGAAGACUUUAACAAAGAAAAGAGUGCAAGAGACGCAGCAAUAUUAUCCCGUAAGUGAACAAAUAUGAAGCAACACUAGAGAAAUGAGUGGAUUUUUGUAACAUGGGUUAUUAAUAGGUUCUCAUAGAAUCACCUUUAUAAAUAAUAGGAUGAAAAUUUUAUUUCUACAAUUUAGUAAUUAUAAUUUUUAUUACUGCUACUAUUACUAUGUAUUUUUCUGUUAGGUAAAGAUGA